rfam:Gossypium raimondii Chr03_contig_267, whole genome shotgun sequence.
AACCCAUGGUGAUGGCACAUUUUUAAUAAGUCCUUAUACAUCUCUCAUGCAUCAUAUAAGGUUUUUAAGUCGGUCUAAAUGAAGGAAGAGAUAUCAUUCCUCAACUU